rnacentral:rRNA from 1 species
GGUGAACGCUGGCGGCGUGCUUAAGACGUGCAAGUCGAACGGCAGUCUUCGGACUGUAGUGGCGCACGGGUGAGUAACGCGUAACCGACCUACCCCACAGUCGCGGAUAACGAUUCGAAAGAAUCGCUAAUACGUGAUGUGCUGUCAGAUUGUGUUCUGCCAGUAAAGAUUGAUUGCUUUGGGAUGGGGUUGCGUUCCAUCAGCUAGUUGGGGGGGUAAAGGCCCACCAAGGCGACGACGGAUAGCCGGCCUGAGAGGGUGGCCGGCCACAGGGGCACUGAGAUACGGGUCCCACGCCUACGGGAGGCAGCAGUUAGGAAUCUUCCACAAUGGGCGAAAGCCUGAUGGAGCGACGCCGCGUGAGGGAUGAAGGUCUUCGGAUCGUAAACCUCUGAAUCAGGGACGAAAGACACUUCGGUGGGGUGACGGUACCUGAGUAAUAGCACCGGCUAACUCCGUGCCAGCAGCCGCCGUAAGAC